rnacentral:rRNA from 1 species
UACGUAGGGGGCUAGCGUUGUCCGGAAUCAUUGGGCGUAAAGCGCGUGUAGGCGGUUCGGUAAGUCCGCUGUGAAAGUCGGGGGCUCAACCCUCGAAUGCCGGUGGAUACUGUCGGGCUAGAGUGCGGAAGAGGCGAGUGGAAUUCCUGGUGUAGCGGUGAAAUGCGCAGAUAUCAGGAGGAACACCGGUGGUGUAGACGGCUUUCUGGACCGUAACUGACGCUGAAACACGAAAGCGUGGGUAGCAAACAGG